rnacentral:rRNA from 1 species
GUCGGUGUUGAUUGUGACGAGGGUCCACCCGUUCCCAUUCCGAACACGGUAGUUAAGCUCGUUCACGCUGACAAUACUUGGCGGGCAGCCGCCCGGGAAGAUAGGUAACGCCGACA